rnacentral:rRNA from 1 species
ACAUCGCAAGUCGAGCGGACAGAAGGGAGCUUGCUCCCGGAUGUUAGCGGCGGACGGGUGAGUAACACGUGGGUAACCUGCCUGUAAGACUGGGAUAACUCCGGGAAACCGGAGCUAAUACCGGAUAGUUCCUUGAACCGCAUGGUUCAAGGAUGAAAGACGGUUUCGGCUGUCACUUACAGAUGGACCCGCGGCGCAUUAGCUAGUUGGUGGGGUAAUGGCUCACCAAGGCGACGAUGCGUAGCCGACCUGAGAGGGUGAUCGGCCACACUGGGACUGAGACACGGCCCAGACUCCUACGGGAGGCAGCAGUAGGGAAUCUUCCGCAAUGGACGAAAGUCUGACGGAGCAACGCCGCGUGAGUGAUGAAGGUUUUCGGAUCGUAAAGCUCUGUUGUUAGGGAAGAACAAGUGCGAGAGUAACUGCUCGCACCUUGACGGUACCUAACCAGAAAGCCACGGCUAACUACGUGCCAGCAGCCGCGGUAAUACGUAGGUGGCAAGCGUUGUCCGGAAUUAUUGGGCGUAAAGGGCUCGCAGGGGGUUUCUUAAGUCUGAUGUGAAAGCCCCCGGCUCAACCGGGGAGGGUCAUUGGAAACUGGAAAACUUGAGUGCAAAAAAGGAGAGGGGAAUUCCACGUGUAGCGGAGAAAUGCGUAUAGAUGUGGAGGAACACCAGUGUCGAAGGCCACU